GUGGGGAAUUUUGGACAAUGGGGGCAACCCUGAUCCAGCCAUCCCGCGUGUGCGAUGAAGGCCUUCGGGUUGUAAAGCACUUUUGGCAGGAAAGAAAUCGCACGGGAUAAUACCUCGUGUGGAUGACGGUACCUGCAGAAUAAGCACCGGCUAACUACGUGCCAGCAGCCGCGGUAAUACGUAGGGUGCAAGCGUUAAUCGGAAUUACUGGGCGUAAAGCGUGCGCAGGCGGUUCGGAAAGAAAGAUGUGAAAUCCCAGGGCUUAACCUUGGAACUGCAUUUUUAACUACCGGGCUAGAGUGUGUCAGAGGGGGGUGGAAUUCCGCGUGUAGCAGUGAAAUGCGUAGAUAUGCGGAGGAACACCGAUGGCGAAGGCAGCCCCCUGGGAUAACACUGACGCUCAUGCACGAAAGCGUGGGGAGCAAACAGGAUUAGAUACCCGGGUAGCC
rnacentral:rRNA from 1 species